AUACGUAGGGGACAAGCGUUGUCCGGAAUGACUGGGCGUAAAGGGCGCGUAGGCGGUCUAUUAAGUCUGAUGUGAAAGGUACCGGCUCAACCGGUGAAGUGCAUUGGAAACUGGUAGACUUGAGUAUUGGAGAGGCAAGUGGAAUUCCUAGUGUAGCGGUGAAAUGCGUAGAUAUUAGGAGGAACACCAGUGGCGAAGGCGGCUUGCUGGACAAAUACUGACGCUGAGGUGCGAAAGCGUGGGGAGCGAACAGGAUUAGAUACCCUGGUAGUCCACGCCGUAAACGAUGAAUGCUAGGUGUUGGGGAAACUCAGUGCCGCAGUUAACACAAUAAGCAUUCCGCCUGGGGAGUACGACCGCAAGGUUGAAACUCAAAGGAAUUGGCGGGG
rnacentral:rRNA from 1 species